rnacentral:rRNA from 1 species
GGGAUGACACAGUAGGAUAAGCUAAGCACACUGUUGGUUAUGUGUGCCCAAGCAUUGAGGCAGUCAAAGUAGGCAAAUCCGCUUUGAUAAUGCUGGGAUGUGAUGGGGAGCGAAAUUUAGUAGCGAAGUAGCUGAUUUCACACUGUCAAGAAAAGUCUCUAUCGAGGUUAAAGGUACCCGUACCGCAAACCGACACAGGUGGGUGAGGAGAGUAUCCUAAGGCCAGCGAGAGAACUGUUGUUAAGGAACUCGGCAAAAUGACCCCGUAACUUAGGGAUAAGGGGUGCCACCAUCAGGUGGCCGCAGAGAAUAGGCCCAAGCGACUGUUUACCAAAAACAUAGGUUUCUGCUAAGUCGCAAGACGAUGUAUAGGAGCUGACGCCUGCCCGGUGCUGGAAGGUUAAGGGGAUCUGUUAGAGUAAUCGAAGCAGUGAACUUAAGCCCCAGUAAACGGCGGCCGUAACUAUAACGGUCCUAAGGUAGCGAAAUUCCUUGUCGGGUAAGUUCCGACCCGCACGAAAGGCGUAACGAUUUGGGCACUGUCUCA